AUCUGGUUCCUGGCAUAUGAUUAAUAUCUAUGAGUAUCUAUCACUACAAAUUCAGUGAUAUGGCUCGCCAUACAUAUUCAUUUAUAGAUCAUGAUACAUACAUACUUAUCCAUCUAGCUCGAUGUCUGGGAAUAGGCCUUUUUUUCUUUUAUUUUUUUUUAUUUUAUUUCUUCCUUCCCCUCUCUGUGACCCGCUAGAGCCCGUCGAAGUGGUGUGCGCGAUACAAAGUUCAUGAUACAGAACUCU
rnacentral:lncRNA from 1 species